rnacentral:rRNA from 1 species
GCAAGUCGAGCGCUACCUUUGGGUGGAGCGGCGGACGGGUUAGUAACGCGUGGGAAUAUACCCUUUUCUAUGGAAUAGCCUCGGGAAACUGAGAGUAAUACCAUAUACGCCCUUCGGGGGAAAGAUUUAUCGGAAUUGGAUUAGCCCGCGUUAGAUUAGAUAGUUGGUGGGGUAAUGGCCUACCAAGUCUACGAUCUAUAGCUGGUUUUAGAGGAUGAUC